ACCGUAAACCUGCGUGCGCAUGAAACCAGCUAUACCGACAUAUUGAAUCACGACCCGACGAAGAUGAUUCGGUGCCAUAGAAACUGUGUGUCGCCAAGAAACAUGGCAGUUCCUUCUUCCAAUGCUAUAAGGAUAGGUUUUUAAAUGCCUCAGUACUUGAUACCAUUAAUGAGAUUGAUCACCUCGAAAUACCAGAGACGCAGGAUUCUGAUGAUGAGAUUAUUGCAAACUCGGAUCAGGAGGUUGUAGAUGCUUCUGAAACGGAAGAUUCGGUUGAUCUUCUCCUACAAGAGUAUUUCAACCUGCUGCAGCUUCUAAACGAUGAAAGCCACGAUCAAUUUCAGUGUGGACAGGAAAUUGAAUUAGACGAAUCUAUCCCUACGGAAAUGUUUCCAGACGAUGACCACAUCUUCUAGGAAAUUUUGGAGCCAACCACCGCAACCAGAAAAUCCCUAUUUAAAUUUGUUGGAUGAUGGAGUUGACAACGCUUAACUCGACGUUUUAUUUAGUCUUUAUUAUUAAAUUUAAAU